AUUGAACGCUGGCGGCAGGCUUAACACAUGCAAGUCGAGCGCGCGGCGGACGGGUGAGUAAUGUCUGAGAACCUGCCUGAUGGAGGGGGAUAACUACGGGAAACGUUAGCUAAUAACGCAUACCACCAUAUGUGUCCAGGUGGGAUUAGCUAGUAGGUGUGGUAAUGGCUCACCUAGGGGCCGAUCACUAUCUGGUCUGAGAGGAUGACCAGCCACACUGGAACUGAGACACGGUCCAGACUCCGACGGGAGGCAGCAGUGGGGAAUAUUGGACAAUGGGCGAAAGCCUGAUGCAGCAAUGCCGCGUGUGUGAAGAAGGCCUUCGGGUUGUAAAGCACUUUCAGCGAGGAGGCGUUACUCGCAGAAGAAGCACCGGCUAACUCCGUGCCAGCAGCCGCGGUAAUUC
rnacentral:rRNA from 1 species